UGGGGAAUAUUGGACAAUGGAGGAAACUCUGAUCCAGCAAUUCUGUGUGUGUGAAGAAGGUUUUAGGACUGUAAAACACUUUUAGUAGGGAAGAAAAAAAUGACGGUACCUACAGAAGAAGCAACGGCUAAAUACGUGCCAGGAGCCGCGGUAAUACGUAUGUCGCGAGCGUUAUCCGGAAUUAUUGGGCUUAAAGGGCAUCUAGGCGGUUAAACAAGUUGAAGGUGAAAACCUGUGGCUCAACCAUAGGCUUGCCUACAAAACUGUAUAACUAGAGUACUGGAAAGGUGGGUGGAACUACACGAGUAGAGGUGAAAUUCGUAGAUAUGUGUAGGAAUGCCGAUGAUGAAGAUAACUCACUGGACAGCAACUGACGCUGAAGUGCGAAAGCUAGGGGAGCAAACAGG
rnacentral:rRNA from 1 species